rnacentral:rRNA from 1 species
AGUGAACGCUGGCGGUAGGCCUAACACAUGCAAGUCGAACGGCAGCACAGUAAGAGCUUGCUCUUACGGGUGGCGAGUGGCGGACGGGUGAGGAAUACAUCGUAAUCUACUUUUUCGUGGGGGAUAACGUAGGGAAACUUACGCUAAUACCGCAUACGACCUACGGGUGAAAGCAGGGGAUCUUCGGACCUUGCGCGAUUGAAUGAGCCGAUGUCGGAUUAGCUAGUUGGCAGGGUAAAGGCCCACCAAGGCGACGAUCCGUAGCUGGUCUGAGAGGAUGGUCAGCCACACUGGAGCUGAGACGCGGUCCAGACUACUACGAGAGGCAGCAGUGGGGAAUAUUGGACAGUGGGGGCAAGCCUGAUCCAGCCAUACCGCGUGGGUGAAAGAGGCCUUCGGGUUGUAAAGCCCUUUUGUUGGGAAAGAAAAGCAGCAGGUUAAUACCCCGCUGUUCCGACGGUACCCAAAGAAUAAGCACCGGCUAACUUCGUG